rnacentral:rRNA from 1 species
AGGGUGUAAACGCUGCGGGCUUGGUGUUGGGGGUCCUUUGAGGGCGCCCAGUGCCGGAGAGAAGUUGUUAAGCCUGCUGCUUGGGGAGUACGUCCGCAAGGAUGAAACUUAAAGGAAUUGGCGGGGGAGCACCGCAACGGGAGGAGCGUGCGGUUCAAUUGGAUUCAACGCCGGACAACUCACCAGGAGCGACGGUUACAUGAAGGCCAGGCUGAUGACCUUGCCUGAUUUUCCGAGAGGUGGUGCAUGGCGUAG